GCUUUUGUAGCUCAGUGGUAGAGCACUUGCCUAGCACAUGUAAGGCCCUGGGUUUGAUCCCCAGCACAGCA
rfam:Fukomys damarensis contig90921, whole genome shotgun sequence.